rnacentral:lncRNA from 1 species
AAAAGACAGACAUCGUACUUGUGGAAUGAUUACGCUUGAGAAAUGUAUCGUCCCUUGCGUUUAAUAUAGAGCUUCAAUUAAAUAGUGUUCUUAUAAUCAAUGAUCUCUGAUAAUUGGAAAGCUAAGCAUGAUUUAUAAUUGUGCAAACAAAUAUAUUGCAUUUUAUACAACGAUUGGCAUAUUGUCUUAAAGAGCAGCACUUUGUUUUAUUGAACCGAUUAACUAUCAACGUGCUUUGUAGUUCUUUCAUUUAACGGAUGUUGAAAAAUUCACCAGAGAAAAGGAUGGCAGAGAGUUCUGAUAAAACCAAAACCGGUAAAACUGUAGUUAUUGGCAUCGAUGGAAGCGAAAAUUCACUGUUUGCAAUUGAAUG